UGAAUCGUUACGAUCUUUGGCUAUCAAUCCAAAUAUAAGGUGGGGCAUCUAACAGACGUUGUGGAUCUUAUCCCCAUGAAAUUAUAAAGUACAAAGUUAUGGAUGUAUGGUAUUGAACCUGACAUUGCGCAUUAUGGAUGUAUGGUUGAUCUAUUCAGCCGGGCAGGUCUGUUCGAUAAGGCAGAGGAGAUUAUGAGAAAGAUGCCAAUGGACCCAGAUGCUGUUAUGUGGAAGGCUUUGUUGGGUGCUUGUAGAAUCCAUAGGAAUUUCGAGCUGGGUGAGUAUUCAGGCAUUCGGCUGAUUGAAUUGGCCCCAGAUGAUCACGCAGGGUAUGUUCUGUUAUCAAACUUAUAUGCGAUGGCAGAUAAUUGGGAUGGAGUUCAUAAGGUGAGGAAGAUGAUGUUUGAAAGAGGGAUAAGGAAGUUACCUUGGAUGCAGUUCAAUUGAAGUGGAUGGCGUCGUUCAUGAAUUUGUAGUUGGAGAUGUAACCCAUUUUCGGAAAAAGGAGAUUUAUGAAAUGCUUGGUGAAAUGGGUGAUAGAUUGAGGGUUGAUGGGUAUGAGCCUUAAUACUGAACAGGUAUUGCUUGAUAUUGAUGAGGAAGAAGUGAAGCAGACUUCAUUGAGUCAUCAUAGCCUUUGGAUUCGUCAGCACGAGCCCUGGUACGACGAUAUGUGUGGUGAAGAACCUUCGUGUAUGCAGUGACUUUCAUUCAGCAAUUAAGCUUCUAUCAAAGAUCUACGACCGGGGCAUCAUUGUCAGGGAUUCAAAUAGGUUCCACCAUUUUAAAGACGGGUCCUGUUCUUGCGGGGAUUAUUGGUGAUGUUCUUGAAAUUUUUUUUAGGAGUGCUGCUCACCAGUGUACAAUGUCAGGUGGACCUGCCAUGCAAAUGAACUGGCACAAAAGUCAGGCUAGUCCAUUCAUCGAGUGGGCCAGACGUGCAUGUUAAAUAUGGCCUGUCAUUGGGCAAAUGAGAUGAAAAAAAAUAAAAAAAAACAAAUACAAAUUUUCUUUAUUUA